AAGACUUUAAGUUAAAACUAAACUAGUAAUCUUCAAAAUUAUUUAUAAAGAUAUAUUAUACUCUUUAAGCCUUA
rnacentral:tRNA from 1 species